GACGACCUACGGGAGGCAGCAGUGGGGAAUAUUGGGCAAUGGGCGAAAGCCUGACCCAGCGACGCCGCGUGAGGGAAGAAGGUCUUCGGAUUGUAAACCUCUUUCAGCAGGGAAGAAGAAAGUGACGGUACCUGCAGAAGAAGUCACGGCUAACUACGUGCCGGCAGCCGCGGUAAUACGUAGGUGGCGAGCGUUAUCCGGAAUUACUGGGUGUAAAGGGUGUGUAGGCGGGAGUGCAAGUCAGACGUGAAAACUAUGGGCUCAACCCAUAACGGGCGUUUGAAACUUUGCUUCUUGAGAGUGGG
rnacentral:rRNA from 1 species